rnacentral:rRNA from 1 species
AUUGAACGCUGGCGGAAUGCUUUACACAUGCAAGUCGAACGAUGAAGUCUAGCUUGCUAGACGGAUUAGUGGCGAACGGGUGAGUAAUACAUCGGAACGUAUCCAUUAAUGGGGGAUAACUAGUCGAAAGAUUGGCUAAUACCGCAUACGUCCUACGGGAGAAAGCUAGGGACCUUCGGGCCUGGCGUUAAUGGAGCGGCCGAUAUCUGAUUAGCUAGUUGGUGAGGUAAAGGCUCACCAAGGCGACGAUCAGUAGCUGGUCUGAGAGGACGACCAGCCACACUGGGACUGAGACAAGGUCCAGACUCCUACGGGAGGCAGCAGUGGGGAAUUUUGGACAAUGGGCGCAAGCCUGAUCCAGCCAUUCCGCGUGAGUGAAGAAGGCCUUCGGGUUGUAAAGCUCUUUCGCAAGGGAAGAAAACUUACCCUCUAACAUAGGGUGAGGAUGACGGUACCUUGAUAAGAAGCACCGGCUAACUACGUGCCAGCCGCCGCCGUAAUAC